AAUGCCUCAUUUUUUUUUCCCGAUGAAUUUCCGAAUAGCUUUAGGUGUCUGCCCAUUGCAAUCAUUCUCAUUGAACUCUAUUCUCUGGUGCCCUCUGUUUUAGGUCUCGGUCAGAUCUCGAUACAAAUGUGGAUGUGUUUGUGGAUUGUGUGGCCGUGAGAGGCGAUUCAGCUGGUGUCUCCGUUCAAUCUUGUCGUUGUGUUGUGGUUGUUGAAUAUUUCUUUGUAGACGAUAUUACAGACGCCUUCUCCCUUGCUCGUCACUGAUGUUUCAUCAAGAAUUUUAAGGCCUCCAGGUGAAGUUACACGUGAAAGUGCUACAUAAAGCUGCCCAUGGCUGAAUACUCCCUUUGUGUGAAUGGAAGCAUGGUGUCGGUCGGUGAUAAUUGAAUCCUUGGAAUUAAUACCUUCUCACCCACGUGUGUCCCAGUAUACCGACUUUUGGGUGGAGACGAUGAUUUGGUAACCCAGGGAAGUCCAGGGAGUUUAGGUACUCUACAGCGUAGUGUGAUCUCCAGUCACCAUCUGGUGUUGCCUCCAUUUCGGUGCUGUCCGACCUUAGAUAUUCCCGCAUUUCAGAAGUUCCGUUACCAACUUGCAAUAUCCAAUCGGCGAAUUCUAUAUCCUCUUGUUGGAGUCUCAUGUUUUGCGACAGCAUGAAGACAUUACAUGACUCCCACAAGUAUGAUUUACUCACGGACGCUGAGACAGUAUCUUGGCGGCUCCCUUGUGCAACAACAGACCGACCCCUGGUGAAUGUUUAGUGGUAUGUUGAAACGUGAGUGAGCCGUCCUGCCUCCUGGUAGUAGUAGAGCCGUGAUACCAGCUGAUGCAACAGGAAUCACUACUCUUCCUGUUGAACGAAGCUAGGCGAUAAUUGUCUUGUAUAAAAAUGUUUUACCGGUACCUCCGGGGCCGUAAACAAAGAACAGCUUCCCUGCCUCAUUCUCUAUGGAUUCCAAAACUGCAUCGUAUACCCUUCUCUGGUCUUCAUUCAAUGACCCAAACAUCCUGUUGUGUUCUUCUGUUUCUGUGUCUUUGUCAAACAUCAUUUCUUGUCUGAGCACAGUGUUGUUUAUGUCUUGGAGAAUGGUUUUAUCAGGCAGAGGCACCCCUUUGAAAUCGGAUAUCCUCCGCCAAAUACUUCCAAGCGUGAUUCCAAAGUUGUACGGGGUUGCCCACUUGACAGUACAGUAAGAUGGUGACAAAUAAUUUCCUCAUCUGAGUGGCUGUGGCCCAAUAUGCAGGACCUCGGACAACAUUGACCAGAAUCCUUAGGUAGUACAGUUCACCAGCAGUUGGGGGUAUGUACACCACUCUCCCUAUCGAUGCUCGCUUCUUUCUUGGAGUCCAUAUUUUCUCAGAGCUGUGAUAGACAAACAUAGUUGGAAAUUCCACAUAUGUUAAAUUCUGCGCUUCCUCAUAUAUGUUGUUUGCCUCCAACCCAAGCGGUAGGUGAAUUGAGAGCUUCAUUACAGAAGGCUGGUGGUAAUGUAUGUGGAACGCAAAUAUUCUCCAAGCUGCCUCGCAUGCUGACACAUAACGACAGUCAAGAUAUUUAAUAGCGCUGGUUCUGCAACACCACUCGACGUUGAUAUGGGCCUUGUAUUUCUUCAAAAGAGACAACAAAUCCAGAUUUAUCAAUGCUUGUCUGCUCGGAAAAUGGUCUUGGGUAGUUUUUGGUGCACUCGCCUUUCUCCAUGCAUGGCGACUUCAGCCGAGUCUUACCGCAAGAAAUAUACUGAUCGAUCAAUGAAGGUGUUGCUUCCCUGUAACCUUCAAACCAAAGGAGAAUGUGUGCAUGUGGCAGUCCACGCUUUUGGAAUUCAAUAGUACAUACCACUGCAACAGGAACAGGGAAGAAUGUGCCUUUUUUGAAGUCUGCCAUCAUUUCAUCCAGUUUUAGCUUAAAGAGUCGGCAUUCUAAAUCUGGCCUACUGUUUGCCGAUUCUCCGCCAUACGCGUCAAGGUGAUCGGUUAUUUCGGUCCAGCUGGGAUUUGCGGUGACUGUGAUGAAUAAGUUUGGAUUCCCAUACCAUCUACAAAUAGCCAUUGCGUCAUGGUAUUUUUCAGCCAUGUAUCUUGGUCCAGCAGUGAAUGAAGAUGGCAAAAUAACUUUUUUGCCAACUUUCCGGGCAUCUGUGUCGCCUCUCUCAACUGCAUCACAUACAUUGUUGUAUAAAUCUGCUCGCAAUUUCUUUUGGUUUAGCCUGAUAAAGCGUAAUCUUUCUUGCUCCGUUGCAGUGUAAGCAUCUACAAUAUACUGAUGCAGCAACCUCCCACCCUUGAUGAUCGUCAUACCCUCUGUCAAUCUAGUUUGAAGUUGUGGAUACUUGAGGCUCAUGAAGAGUGGGUGUUGAUCACUGAUCCUCUGUAGUGAAGAAGACUUGAAUUGGAGAACUACAUCUCUUCCUCCAGUGUUGAUUGUCAAGUCACCAACUAUUAACCCCCCAAUCUCGUCAGCACUUGCUCCACCGGUGAUUGCUUUGAUUCGGUUGUGGACCUCAUUUGCUGUGUCGAAUAUAUAAAGUUGGAGAAACUGUGGUGGUUUCCCUUCAACAGGCACCAGGGAGCCUAUUUGGUGAUGAUUCUGACCAUGGAUUCUGUAGGUAAACGGUCCUUGAGUUCCUGUGACAGUAUGAUCCACGUGUGCCCCCAUUGAUGUGAAGGCCAGCAUCGCAUUCACUACACGGAUAUUUUGACGGAAUUCCGGUAAUUCUAGUACCUCUUUCAGCGGUGACGGCGGGUCCUUAACACGUGGGAGCUUCACACGUCCUUGUUGACAACAAAUGCUGAACAGUCUUUUAGUUGGUGUCUGGCUGGAGUGGAGGAAACACAUGUUUGGAGUUGAGAGAUAUUCAGCAGAUAGCCAUGGCUGACUUUGGUCACCUUUCUGGACACCUGCAUUUCAUUGCGUAGUGAGGUUGUUCAGUAGCUAUGAAAUUAGUUUUGGGUAGUACAUAUUCCUACCUUUUUUGGGAAGGGAAGCUUUCUUCAUAACUAUAGUGUUGUUUUUGGACAAACACUUCAUUCUUUUUUCCAGGGAAUGUUCAUGUUGGCAAACCGUUUUCCCUUUAUCAAGAGGUGUUUUGUGCACCAUGAUGUCUGUUACACGUAGAUUUGGUAAUUGGGGAGCAAUAGGUGAUAUUUGGAAGAAGGGUAAGUUUACUUCAUCUGGGCAUUUUACCUCAUCUGGGCAUUUUGUAACUGAAAUAUUGUAAUUGAUAUAUAACAAUAAUAUUAUGUAAUUAACGCUAUUAAAUAUGCCUUAAAUCA